rnacentral:rRNA from 1 species
CCUACGGGCGGCUGCAGUGGGGAAUAUUGCACAAUGGGGGAAACCCUGAUGCAGCGACGCCGCGUGAGUGAAGAAGUAAUUCGUUACGUAAAGCUCUAUCAGCAGGGAAGAAACACUGACCUUACGGUCAGCAGACGGUACCUGAGUAAGAAGCCCAGGCUAACUACGUGCCAGCAGCCGCGGUAAUACGUAGGGGGCAAGCGUUAUCCGGAUUUACUGGGUGUAAAGGGAGCGUAGACGGUGCACCAAGUCUGGAGUGAAAUGCCGCAGCUUAACUGCGGAACUGCUUUGGAAACUGGCGAACUAGAGUGCAGAAGAGGUAAGCGGAAUUCCUAGUGUAGCGGUGAAAUGCGUAGAUAUUAGGAGGAACACCGGUGGCGAAGGCGGCUUACUGGACCGUAACUGACGUUGAGGCUCGAAAGCGUGGGUAGCAAACAGGAUUAGAUACCCCUGUAGUC